UAUAGCGCAGGCUCAGUAGUUGUGACACAUGGGUUUAGUUGCUCCACGGCACGUGGGAUCUUCCUGGACCAGGGCUCGAACCCGUGUCCCCUGAAAUGGCAGGCGGAUUCUUAACCACUGCACCAGCAGGGAAGUCCCACCUUUACAUUCUUGCCAUUAUAUGUCACCACCAUAGUUCAAGACACUGUGGAUGUUUUCCUAACUAUUGCAAAAAUUGUUCUCCCACCCCUAGUUCCAUCUUACGCCCAGCUGAUGGAGUAGUUUUUCUAAAGCACAUAUAUGACUACAUAAUUUCCCUCCUCAACCUCCCAUGGCUUCCUAUGGCCUCUAGCCUUAAGUGCAGUUUCCUCAGGAAUUCCUUCAGGGCCCUCCAUAAUCUGAUCUUUCAGUCCUAAUAAUCUACUACCCUUUGCAACUGCUAAAUUUUGGCCGUACGAACUGUUCUUUAAUCUUUGUGCUUUUUCCCCUCCAUCUUACAUUCACGUUGCUCUCUGGGCCUCGAUUUCUGAUUUCCAUCAUCUCUGCCUAGCAGAGUUCUAACAUCCUUAAAGACUUCAAAUGCAAAGUUAGCUAAGAUAACCUCUUCCUCCGCUGGACUCCCUCAGUGCUUUAUUUUACCCUCUUCUGUUCUUACUGUCUACUUUAUUAUGAGUAUUUGAUUACUCAUUCCAUAAAUGUUUUUCAAGUAUCUGUUGUGAGUGUGGCCCUGUACUAGGGGCCAUGUGGGUAUAAAAUAAAACUGAUUCAAACCUUGGUUUUUAAAGGACUUGUAUUUUGGGUUGGGAGGUAAUGUGAACCUAAAUAACAUUUUUUUCAAGGUAAAAGAAAACAAGUAUUUCAGGCAUCCAGAGGGAGAACUCACUUUGCUAGAGGGAUGAGAGAAAGCUUUGUGGAGGAGGUGGCAUCCAAGCUAGCUUGGAGGAUCAGCGACUUAUAUGGAUGUACAUGGGGAAGGCAUUCAACACAGAGGGACUACCAGGAACAAAGCUACCAAGCUGAAAAGAGAAGGGUAUGUUAGGGAAGGGGAAGAAGUUUCAUCUGUUAUUAAGGGGCCUCUUGGGAGACAGGCUGGUGGCAGGUUGGUUAAGGCUAGAUAGAGAAUGGCCACACAUUCCCGGCCAGAAGAUAAGAUGAUGCCGUUGCAUGGAAUCCAUUGAAGAGUUUUGACAAGAGACUGACAGAAUCAGAGCUGCAGGACAGGAUAACUAAGCAGAGGAAGAUGGUUGGAUAUCCUCUUCUCAACAAAUUUUGUAUAGCACCCACCGGGUGCCAGGCACCAUGCAGCUCCCCACCCUCACUGGUCUCUCCCUUCAUACCUACUAUGUGCUGAGUGUGGUGUCAGACCAUGAGGAUCCCAUCCUGAGAGAGGCAAACUUGCUGUCUGUCCUCAGGGUGCUUGCAGUGUAGCAGAUACAGCUCCUGGAAGUAAACGGGAUCACGUGACAGGUUCUGGCCAGCAGACUGUGAGUAGAUGUGCCAGGAGUCACUUUGGUGGUCUUCUUCACCUGCCACGUCAACAGCAAGAGGCUUUAUCUCCACAGUGGAGCCACCAGAGAGAAACAGCCUGCGUCCCCGAGCCCCUGCUGAAAAUGAGAUGCCCUGGAGGACGCUCAGAGCCACAGCGGACUUUGCCACUUGUCUCUUAUCAGAAAACAUCAAAUGACAAGAGAGGUGACUCAAGCCAAGGAUUCCAGUGUCUGGUCCUAUUAGUGGAUGAACCAUCUUACUGGAUGAACUGUAGCUCUGUGCAACCUUCACUGAUGUUUGGAAUGAGGACCCUGAGAUACAUACCAUGCUGCAUCAUUGAGAAAGGAUCAGACAAGAAAUCCACCAGUUUUUACAGGUGUUAUUUACAAUAAGUGUUGAUGCAAAAUAAGAUUUUCUCCUUGACUUCCAAAUGCAAAAUUUCCAGAACUGUCUUGGUCUGCUCAGCUGGAGGAACCAGGGCUGGCGUGGUGGGGACCUGUCCUGGGUAAGGGGCUCCUGGAGGGGCUUAGACAGGCUUCAUCAAAGAGCUGGGUUUAAAUCAAGGAGAAAGCAGAAGACAGUGUUAAGAGCCAGAGAAGCCAUCCUGAGCAUC